AUUCCCUGGUUACGGUCCCUGAGACCCCCGACUCCACCUGCGGAGCUGCUGUUCAGGUGAUGCUACAUGGAAAAACUCCUGUCUACAUUAUGCACAGCCGUUGGCAGGAAAACAACGCAGUUGAGAGAGCAAACGUCUCCCAUUCAAUGGUGUUGCCUUUCAAGAAGGAACAGUGAUGCCGAAACAUUGGUGGUCUACCCAAUACAUUACUCUGAGGUGGUCUACCCAAUACAUUACUCUGAGGUGGUCUACCUAAUACAUUACUCUGAGGUGGUCUACCCAAUACAUUACCCUGAGGUGGUCUACCCAAUACAUUACUCUGAGGUGGUCUACCCAAUACAUUACUCUGAGGUGGUCUACCCAAUACAUUACUCUGAGGUGGUCUACCCAAUACAUUACUCUGAGGUGGUCUAUCCAAUACAUUACUCUAGGUGGUCUAUCCAAUACAUUACUCUAGUUGGUCUACCCAAUACAUUACUCUGAGGUGGUCUACCCAAUACAUUACUCUGAGGUGGUCUACCCAAUACAUUACUCUGAGGUGGUCUACCCAAUA